GGUCCCACGCAAUGUGAUCCGUCUCUCAAACACUCUCAACACUCUUCUUGUGGACCUCGGGCUCGACGACGAUGAAGGAACCAACGCUGAGCCAAUUCCAGUGCAAAACGUCACUGCCUCGAUUUUGAAGAAGGUUAUCAACUGGUGCACCAAACACCAGUCCGACCCAAUUCCAACUGAAGACAGUGAGAAGAAAACGGAUGGUUCCAUCCAAGACUGGGACAAAAAAUUUCUCGAUAUUGACCAAGGAACCCUUUUCGAGCUCAUUUUGGUAACUUGUUAUUUUAGUUGCAAUAUUUUAAAUUCCUAUUUUCAGGCUGCCAACUAUUUGGACAUCAAAGGACUUCUUGAUGUCGCCUGCCAGUCUGUCGCCAACAUGAUCAAGGGAAAAUCUCCAGAUGAAAUUCGUCGUGCUUUCAACAUCAAGGACGACUUCACUGCAGAGGAGAGAGAGCAAAUCCGUAAGGAAAACGCCUGGUGCGAUGAUUAAAUCUCCAUCUUUUCCCCUGUUAAACUUUCAAUUACCUUGUUUUCUAAAUGUUUCACAUCAUCCACCAUAUCUUUCCCCUUAUUAAACGCACUUUUUAAUUGUUAACAAAUUUCUUCACUGCCAGCUGACACAACUGUGUACAGUUCUGUUUUUCAUUCAAUAAAGUUGAUGUGAACAUGAAAAUUGCAAACAAUGCAAUUGGUUUUAAAGCCACAGCAAUAGUAUUUUUUAGUCUGAACAGGACUAUAGAUCCUUCACUUUUGAAAUGGAAGAUGACGAGAUGUGAAAUUCUAGGCCAAAGUUGCUUCGUUUUCCGCGCGCGUAGAUUUCGAAAUAAAUAAAAAAACAAUACUUUUCUCAGUUUUAAAAGCUACGGAUCGUGUGAAUGAAAAUUACUUUCUGUGAUUAAUUGCGAAUGGGGUUAUUCAAGUAAUGUAUUUACAUGACUUUAUCGCAUAUUGCGCCUGACGCUGCUAAAUCCCCGCAUUUAACUGAAAGUUGCGAUAUCUUUAAAACGAGAUCUAUUUUUUCCAUUUCUUUCAUUUUUUUUUUCCUGAUAUUCUCCUUUUUCUAUCUAUCAAAAAUCGAGUGCCGAUAUUCGCUGAAAAGACUAUAUUAUGUACGCCGUCCGCUCUCUUUUUAAUUUUAUAUAAUUAAAAAACAUUAUCUCUGAAUAUCUGCAACUCGAAAUUUAGUAAAUAUACCGUUCCUCCAUUAUCUUUCUAGUAUUUUUUUAAAGACUUUGUCCAUCCAAUAAAUUGUCAUAUUUGUCAAUUCGUUCCCGCAUUGCGUUCUAUAACGAUCGAUAACUCUGCGUCUCUUCCUUUGUGUGUACACUGUUUCCUCGCUUCUCUACACUGUUUCCUCGCUUCUCUCGCAUCAUACGACACACUCACAUUCUAUUCGCUCAUUUCUCAACGUUCUCAUUCUAUUUUUCGUUGUUUUUCUUUGUUUUGCAGGUAUUUUGCGUUGGAAAAUUUAAAACUUUUAAUUUUUCUCGAUGGAAAUACUCUUAAUCGUUCUUUUUUUUUUCUACCUGUUCUUCUUUAUUAUUUGUAUGUAAUCGUUCUUUUCACAAUAAUUUCUCAAUUUCAAUCGAUUUCAACGCGAUGGCUGAUCAAAAGAAAGUAUCCGAGGCGGCAAAGGAACGCGAAAUCAAGAUAUCGUCUUCGGAUAACGAAAUCUUCUUG
rnacentral:sRNA from 1 species